rnacentral:piRNA from 1 species
GUGGCAGAGCCCAUGGAACUGUAG